rnacentral:rRNA from 1 species
CAGAGACUGCAAGCGUUAUUCGGAUUCACUGGGCGUAAAGGGUGCGCAGGCGGCCAAGUGUGUGAGGCGUGAAAGCCCGGGGCUUAACCCCGGAAUUGCACCUCAAACUACAUGGCUAGAGCAUUGGAGAGGGUAGCAGAAUUCAUGGUGUAGCAGUGAAAUGCGUAGAUAUCAUGAGGAAUACCAGAGGCGAAGGCGGCUACCUGGACAAUUGCUGACGCUCAGGCACGAAAGCGUGGGGAGCAAAAGGGAUUAGAUACCCCUGUAGUCCACGCCCUAAACGGUGCACACUAGGUCUUGGCGGAUUCGACCCCCCCAGGGCCCAAGCUAACGCGUUAAGUGUGCCGCCUGAGGACUACGGCCGCAAGGCUA